rnacentral:rRNA from 1 species
GACGAACGCUGGCGGCGUGCUUAACACAUGCAAGUCGAACGGAAAGGCCCUGCUUUUGUGGGGUGCUCGAGUGGCGAACGGGUGAGUAACACGUGAGUAACCUGCCCUUGACUUUGGGAUAACUUCAGGCAACUGGGGCUAAUACCGGAUAGGAGCUCCUGCUGCAUGGUGGGGGUUGGAAAGUUUCGGCGGUUGGGGAAGGACUCGCGGCUUAUCAGCUUGUUGGUGGGGUAGUGGCUUACCAAGGCUUUGACGGGUAGCCGGCCUGAGAGGGUGACCGGCCACAUUGGGACUGAGAUACGGCCCAGACUCCUACGGGAGGCAGCAGUGGGGAAUAUUGCACAAUGGGCGGAAGCCUGAUGCAGCGACGCCGCGUGCGGGAUGACGGCCUUCGGGUUGUAAACCACUGUCGCCUGUGACGAAGCGUGAGUGACGGUAAUGGGUAAAGAAGCACCGGCUAACUACGUG